rnacentral:lncRNA from 13 species
GGAUCAUUUGAAAGACAGUUUGUGAGUAUGAGCUUUUUAUGCUUCUCAACAUCCACACGGAUGAAGAAUUGGUGCCCAGCUGUUCCAAGGGAACUGCCUCACUGAUCACGUGGUACAUAUUGGAGCGCAUGUACUUCUGCUGCGUUCAUAACCAAGUAGCAAGGUGGUAGAGGUCAGCAUGUGGAACAAAUCGGAGCUCAGGGAUGAUAGACGAGUUUCCCACUAGAAAUUACGAAUUGGAGGGGCAGUUAAAGUGGAUUUUUCCCAGUCGUAUAUUGUAAAUACCACCUUCCCACUUGGUUAACAACGCAUUAUAAAUCCUAGGAGGAGGAUCUCAGGAAUGUAAUUGAGGGCCCUUUGAGCCAAUUAAGGCUUCGCACCCGAAUCUCCACCAAUGACUGAGAAGGAGGCGAGGUCUUGGAUGGACUCGGAUGGCGUUGGGAAGAACUUGGAUAAUUUCAGUCGAGGAAAAUGGAAAAAGGGACAAUUCAUUUAUAGGAGCAGAAGAAGUUAUUCCUCAGUGUUUGACAGGGAUUUGUUUGCACAUCUUUACUGUGGAACUAGGAAAAAUAACGAUAUUCAUCAGGAUUCGAAAUAUGGGUCAUGUGUGAUUGAAGAGGACCACCACCACCACCACCAGGCUGCUGAGGGAACCUGUAUGCCCAGAGAAACAGCAACCAGUAUGGACAUUGUGGAAGACUUCCCUCCCCCGCCUCCGGAAAGUAAGUAAUGCCAACAUCCUCCUCUCCUCCCCUCUCUCUCUCUGACUCAAUCUCUCCCAGCACUUGUAAAUCCCCCCGUAGCCAAUGAGAACACAUGCUGCUGCUCAGGCCUGUGGACAGCUCUGUUUAUGGUUUUCUAUGCUGAGAUGAGUGAGGCGCUACUUGGUAAUGUCAUUAUGUCAUGUCCGUUGGUAGAUUUAGCUUGUCGUCCUGAGAUGUUAUCAGACUGUAGUGACCAUCUCUACUUGUCCCUUUGUUACGCCUAGUGCAGUUUGUGUGUUCUUGUUGAUGUUUUUGAGUAGUCAGUUAAUGUUGCUCAAACUAACAGGUCCUAAAGGCUGUUUUGGCUGAUGAUGAUGGGGAUCUAUAUAUCAUAUUUCUGUUAGCCCUGUUUAUGGUAACAGGUUUGAAAGGUCUGUUUUGGCUGAUGAUGAUGGGGAUCUAUAUAUCAUAUUUCUGUUAGCCCUGUUUAUGGUAACAGGUCUUAAAGGUCUGUUUUGGCUGAUGAUGAUGGGGAUCUAUAUAUCAUAUUUCUGUUAGCCCUGUUUAUGGUAACAGGUUUGAAAGGUCUGUUUCGACUGACACACUGAUGGUCAGUCUAGCUCCCUGAGGGCCUUUUCAUGAUGGGCAGACCGUGUAAACACAUUCCUCUCUGGAGCUCGUGGGCUGUGGAACGAAGGAGUAAGGAGAAGGAGGAGGAGAAAUGUGCCACAAUUGCGAAGGGCAGACAAUGUGCCUCAGUAUCUGAGCCCUGGCUGAAUACUGCAGCAUCAGGCACGCGCGCACACACACGCACCACAGGGAAUGGAACAGGCCAGAGAAAUGCCUCAUCUCCAGCUGGGCAGCCACUUGCCUUGUUGCCGUGGCGAUGCUGGAGCACAUUGUAAGCCAGUGACUCAUUGAGCAGAGCAGUGUGGCAGAGAGGAGAGGAGGCACGGGAACAGAAUCCAUAUUGUGGUUAUUAAUUGACAAUGGAUGUUGGGGACAGGCCUAAUUUUCUCUCUCUCUGUGUGUGUGUGUGUGUGUGUGUGUGCUGGCUAGAGAGAGAGUAUUGAGCAGACUGCAGGCACACAUUCUCACAGCGCCAACUAUCCAUGGCUUCAUCAUUUACACUUGAUCGUGACCAAAUUAUUGAAUGGGCAAUUUAAACGAAUAAUCUGUUCAAGCUUUUAUACAAUCUCUGUUCCAUCACACCCUGCUCUGCUUUACUUGGACCAGCCUGUGCGUCAGAGAGUAGACACGCACAAGAAUGAAUAUGCAUCCCAUGUCUCAGCAGUGAAACAUCCCUCCAGGCAGUGGCUAGCUGUGCCUGGUCCUUCUAGCUGGUCCGACACAGCUAUUCAUUAUCACAGAUGGGAACAGCAGAUGUCACCUCUUCCCAGGUUUUCCCUCCUAAUGUUCUGCUCUAGCGCCUUCAAAGUUUAGUUUCAGGGUGUACAUAGAGGUCAGAGGUCACAGUUAGACCCCAUAGCAGAGUCACAGACCAUUGUCAUAACUUCAGACUGAGGGCUAGACCACUUCCUGUCAACCCCUUAGGGAGUCAUGAUGGGGAUUUAGACUAAAGGGCUCAUAGUGCUGUAGAGCUUCAAGGACUUUUGGGUCUCUGAGUGAUUGAUCUGUGUAUUGGAACUGGGGAUAAGGACUUAUUUAAGCCUGAGGGGUUAGUAACCUUUGAGUAAUGUAUUUGAUGGUUAGUGAGCCUAACCUGUAGCCUUACUUACCGUUGUGUAUUUAUGUUAGACAGUGUUGUUUCUAGUAACAGCUGUCUAAAUGUCAGCUUAGAGUUUACUCAGUCAAGCAGGAAGUAUUUAGCCAGCACAGGAAACGGAACUGAUGUGAAUAGGGGUCAAAGGGAAAAAGGUGUAGAUCUAUACUGAGAAAUCUUAGUAGGAAAUCUUCUCAUUUAGAUGAGAGGGUUGAAUUGUUACCUCUGGUUUGGUCAUUCAGGAAAUUGUGCCAGAACUUAGAGAAAAGGGAAUUUUACUCAGUUUCUUAGCAGGAACAGUCAGGAUAUGAGAGUUUACCUUGGUUAACCUAGUCGUGGGGAAACCUGAAUCCUGAUAGGACAGUCGUGUUUGUACUGGAACUGAGUCGCGUGGGAAAUCUGUGGUAUGUUUAGGAGCAGAGGUAUGCCCGUUUCUGUUAGAUAUGUCCGCCACGGCCAGGGAGAUAAAGUAGCAGUCUCAGAUGGGGUUGUGACCUCUUAAACGGAAGCUCCUGCCUCCCAUAGGGAAACUGUGUAAUAGGAAUCUGGAUCCAAUAGCAAGUCCAUGUACUUGGACUCCUGUAGAGAGAAGUGGAUGUUUGAAUGGGCUGAAUACAGAGCAUUCCUUUCAUCUAUACCACCGAUGACUUCUGACUGUCACCUUCUGUGAACCCUUUGCCAGCAUUCAGCAGGGAUUCUAAUGUCAUGGAUUUUUCUCUCUCUUUAGGCUACAGACUUUCCUCUCCUCUUUACACCCCUCUCCCUAAUUCACCUCCUUUAUUCAGUAUGUCAGAAAGUACAAGAGAAGUGCUCGCACAACGGCUGUCCAUUUGAUUUGACAGGCUUUUUCCUACGCCUUACACAAUUGUGUCAGUCGGUGUCCUCAACCUGAAUAAACCCCCUGUUACUAAACCUACACACGGCCCUCCCAAAGGAACCUCAUAUAGCGGUGACCCACCACCAUGUCACUUUAAGUCAUCUGAAUUAGGUCUGUGGUGAC